GACGAACGCUGGCGGCGUGCCUAAUACAUGCAAGUUGAGCGCUGAAGGUUGGUACUUGUACCGACUGGAUGAGCAGCGAACGGGUGAGUAACGCGUGGGGAAUCUGCCUUUGAGCGGGGGACAACAUUUGGAAACGAAUGCUAAUACCGCAUAACAACUUUAAACACAAGUUUUAAGUUUGAAAGAUGCAAUUGCAUCACUCAAAGAUGAUCCCGCGUUGUAUUAGCUAGUUGGUGAGGUAAAGGCUCACCAAGGCGAUGAUACAUAGCCGACCGGAGGGGGUGAUCGGCCACAUUGGGACUGAAACACGGCCCAAACUCCUACGGGAGGCAGCAGUAGGGAAUCUUCGGCAAUGGACGAAAGUCUGACCGAGCAACGCCGCGUGAGUGAAGAAGGUUUUCGGAUCGUAAAACUCUGUUGGUAGAGAAGAACGUUGGUGAGAGUGGAAAGCUCAUCAAGUGACGGUAACUACCCAGAAAGGGACGGCUAACUACGUGCCAGCCGCCGCCGUAA
rnacentral:rRNA from 1 species